rnacentral:rRNA from 1 species
AUUGAACGCUGGCGGCAUGCCUUACACAUGCAAGUCGAACGGCAGCACGGGAGCAAUCCUGGUGGCGAGUCGCGGACGGGUGAGUAAUAUAUCGGAACGUGCCCAGUCGCGGGGUAUACCGUAGCGAAAGCUACGCUAAUACCGCAUACGAUCUAUGGAUGAAAGCGGGGGAUCGUAAGACCUCGCGCGAUUGGAGCCGCCGAUAACAGAUUAGGUAGUUGGUGGGGUAAAGGCUCACCAAGCCGACGAUCUGUAGCUGGUCUGAGAGGGCGACCAGCCACACUGGGACUGAGACACGGCCCAGACUCCUACGGGAGGCAGCAGUGGGGAAUUUUGGACAAUGGGCGCAAGCCUGAUCCAGCAAUGCCGCGUGCAGGAUGAAGGCCUUCGGGUUGUAAACUGCUUUUGUACGGAGCGAAAAGGCUUCCACUAAUACUGGGGGCUCAUGACGGUACCGUAAGAAUAAGCACCGGCUAACUACGUGCCAGCAGCCGCCGUAAAAC